UCAUUUUGUUAUAACAAUAUAAUUUUGUGGGAAAAAUAUAAAAUGAGCCAAAGUUCAUGUAUAUUUUGAUAACUCUCAAAAUUCGUGGAGAAAACAAAAUAAGUCAAAUUCGUGGAAAAAACAAAAUAAGUCAAAGUUCAUGUAUUUUUUGAUAAUUUUUAAAGUUCAUGGGAAAAACUAAUAUAGACCCAAACUUCGUAUAUUUAGGCGCCAAUCACCCCAAAAAAAACAAAAAAAAGCCAGUUGAUGUUUUUCACAAUUCAAAUCCCUUAAAUUGUAAGCCAAUUAAACAAGUAGAAGUAGUGCCGAAUUAGAGACAAAAGUAGUUUAUAGGAUCGAAUAGGACUGAAUGUGUAAAAAAAUCGAAAUCUAGUUGACUUAAAUUUGUA
rnacentral:lncRNA from 1 species